GACCUGCUCGCCCAAAGCCCGCCGAACCACACGCACUUGAACCUGUGUCCGUUCUUGCCCCCAGAGAGGGCAUAUCUGGACCAGCUUGGGCACACACUCAAGCCUGAGCCAUCGCCAUCAGCCACCUGAGACACCGAGGGAUUUGUUUCUCCAUCCCACCCGGAGGGUUGGGUGUACUGUCUUUACUCCCCGAGGAGAAAACAGGAGGCAGACAGGUGGAUUACGGACAUCACCCCGCCCCCCAGGUUCCUUGCAUUGACUCCAUGGAGAGUGUAUCACCUGAUUUCCGUCAUGAUCCUUACACGUGUUAUUAUGCAGAUAAUAAAGGAUAUGAUUUUGUCUAGAACAAGAGGUGCCCAGUUGUGGAGAAGCCUCAGUGAAAGGUGGUGUUAGUGGUAAAGAACCUGCCUGCCAGUU